rnacentral:rRNA from 1 species
AUGCUGCCAAAUAAAGCUCAUGCCACCAUGGAGGAUGCCAUGUCCGGUGCUCCCACUACCCUAUGCCGAUCCACAGCCAGAGGGUGCGCCCCGAUGGCAACCCAACACCCUCGGCCACUAGAACACUGGGAUGUCCCUUCGACUCCAUCAACUGCGCCGCCGUGCCGUCGAUCUCUCCGGCCGAUUCAGGUCGCCCGAGGGACCAUACGUACAUGGGGAAGUCCGAAUUUGGUUGUCUUCCUCAACUCCUCUCUAGAAUUCUACUUUCUCAAACAGCGUAAAGAAAAGGCUGACUGGUUAAGGAAGUUUGUCCAUGAUAAUACAAGUAUCAUUGUGUGGUGCUUAGUAUUCAGAAUUCCAUAA